rnacentral:rRNA from 1 species
UACAGAGGUGGCAAGCGUUGUUCGGAAUUACUGGGCGUAAAGGGCGCGUAGGCGGCCUACUAAGUCAGACGUGAAAUCCCCCGGCUUAACCUGGGAACUGCGUCUGAUACUGGAAGGCUUGAGGAUGGGAGAGGGAUGUAGAAUUCCAGGUGUAGCGGUGAAAUGCGUAGAUAUCUGGAGGAAUACCGGUGACGAAGGCGGCAUCCUGGACCAUUACUGACGCUGAGGCGCGAAAGCUAGGGGAGCAAACGGG